UGUCGGACGUUACCAAACUGUUGCCUCGGCGGGGUCACGCCCCGGGUGCGUCGCAGCCCCGGAACCAGGCGCCCGCCGGAGGAACCAACCAAACUCUUUCUGUAGUCCCCUCGCGGACGUAUUUCUUACAGCUCUGAGCAAAAAUUCAAAAUGAAUCAAAACUUUCAACAACGGAUCUCUUGGUUCUGGCAUCGAUGAAGAACGCAGCGAAAUGCGAUAAGUAAUGUGAAUUGCAGAAUUCAGUGAAUCAUCGAAUCUUUGAACGCACAUUGCGCCCGCCAGUAUUCUGGCGGGCAUGCCUGUCCGAGCGUCAUUUCAACCCUCGAACCCCUCCGGGGGAUCGGCGUUGGGGAUCGGGACCCCUCACACGGGUGCCGGCCCCGAAAUACAGUGGCGGUCUCGCCGCAGCCUCUCCUGCGCAGUAGUUUGCACAACUCGCACCGGGAGCGCGGCGCGUCCACGUCCGUAAAACACCCAACUUUCUGAAAUGUUGACCUCGGAUCAGGUAGGAAUACCCGCUGAACUUAAGCAUAUCAG
rnacentral:rRNA from 1 species